GGGAGAGAUGGAGACCCGUACACUGUCAAAAGAGGAAUAAAUCCAAAACAGGCUUGAAUAUAGAUGUUUGACACUGAUGUCUUGAUGCCGAAACGUUUUAAAUUCCGCACUUUUCUGCACAAUGAAAACUCAUGAUGCCCAAUAAAACCUCUAUUUUGUGUAUUUAAGCCUCAGUUUUGAAUGUAUUCCUCUUGUUUUAUUUUACAGUGUGUGUGUGUCUAUCGCUUCCAGUAUUCUCAUUUUGAUACCUACUCACCUGGAACAGACACUAUUUGGUUUAAAGGACCUUUAAGGGUGAUGGGGAGUUAGAGUAGUUUGGAUGGGUCUUUCACCACCUUAUCACAGGACCAUGAAACCUGUACCAAUCCAACCAAAAGAACUGCCCACUUUCCACCUACUACCCCUCUGAAGCUUUACCUACCCACUGCCCACCUCGCCCGCUGGUUGGGCUCUUCUGGCUCCAGUGCUAAGAAAGGACUUGGACCAAGCCAUUCUGAAUCAAAUAAUUGAGCUAAUAAUCUUUCAUUUGAAAAAGAGAUCAUCCAAUAACUUUUUGACAGUGCAGAGUGAGAGGAGAGUGAUUUACAUACAGUAUGACAAAUUCAGUGUUCAAUGAUGUAGUUUUAUUUUUUACAAGACAUUGUAUGGAUUUUCUGAAUGUGAGAUGUAUGUUGUGACAAUCAUAUCACCCCCCCCACACACAAAAACAAACAAAAAACUACUUUUUAAAUGUAUUUGGAGAUUUUCAAUUAGUAGCGAAUGCUGUUUUUCUUUCUGUGUUUCUAAUGCACUCCAUGGGGCUCGAUGGACCAUAGUGUAGGGGUACUUUGGUUCAGUUUACAGGGCUAUGUGAGAGAGGCUUUGAUGAGAGGGAACAAUAUAUUUGCCCAAAUGAUGCACUCUAAAGCAUGAGUCACAGGACAGAGAAUUAGUGAAAAAUGAUUGAAUUCUGUUCUCAAGGAAAUAUUCUUGUCAUUGUAAUGUAGUCCAUUCAAACCCCUUACCAAGUAUUGACCAAAGAUGGUUCAUGUGAUUUUUGGAAAGUCUUGCAGUAUUCUACUGUAGUUAUUUUGUUAUAGCAUCAUAUCCAGCAUCUCAAUAGCUAGUGAUGUUUCCACAUGACACUGAGUUAUGAGUGAAGUCAUACUGUACUUGGUUAAAAUGGGUUGUAGAAGUGACUUGGACCCUUCUCUCCUGCAUUGUGUCGAUUUUAUUCAUUUUAACACUCAUUGCUCACUGAAGUUGUUGGUUUAACGUUGCUGUUUCUAGCCAAUGCAUGUUUGUCCCCAUGACCAUGCUUUUUAAAAUGUUUCCAAUAAUGGGUCAAAGCCAUCACAACACUUGCUGCCUCCAUUAUCUUGUGCACUGGGUGCCAGACAGAGUAAACUAAGCAGAUUUUGUUUGACUAAAGAUUAAGGGCUGGACUCAAUCUGUAUCGUGGAAGAUCGGUGUUAAAUUUAAAGGUAAUUUUUUGACAUUCAGUUGACAUAUGCAGCGUUUAAUGUGAAUGCAGUCUUUGAAAUGCCUUUUUGAGGUGGCAGGUAGCCUAUUGGUUAGAGCGUUGGGCCAGUAACAGAACGGUUGCUGAAUCGAAUCCCCGAGCUGACAUGGUAAAAAUCUGUCGUUCUGCCCCUGGACAAGGCAGUGAGCCCACCUACCCCCAGUCGGCCUUCAUUGUAAAUUAAGAAUUUGUUAUUAACUGACGUGCCUAGUUAAAUAAAGAUUUGAUUUGUUUCAAAUUUGUAAGAAAAAAACAUUGAGUUAUAGUGUGGAUUUUCCACGAUGUAGAUUAAAACCAGCCCAAAGAUUCUGUGUUGAGAAAAUGAAUUGCGCUUUGUACAUAUACCCACAUUUCUCAAAGUUUGUAUGUUUCAAUUGUCAAGCUCAAUGAGAUCCCUAUCCAACAUCAGCAGGCUGAACUGAAUUUUAUGUUACUGAGUAAAAUGUAUCGGUAUAUCAACAGAAUACGGUUUCAUUUUUCCAUUGUCAGUUUUUGUCUCUAUUUUGAUGAGCCAUACUUGGCACUGCCUUGUCUUGUAUCUUCUGACUACUACAUGCGUUUAACAGUGCUGAGAAGGCCACCACAGCUUCAGGCUAACUGCUGCUGUGAAU
ensembl:lncRNA